AGGCUUAACACAUGCAAGUCGAGCGCCCCGCAAGGGGAGCGGCAGACGGGUGAGUAACGCGUGGGAACGUACCCUUUACUACGGAAUAACGCAGGGAAACUUGUGCUAAUACCGUAUGUGCCCUUCGGGGGAAAGAUUUAUCGGUAAAGGAUCGGCCCGCGUUGGAUUAGCUAGUUGGUGGGGUAAAGGCCUACCAAGGCGACGAUCCAUAGCUGGUCUGAGAGGAUGAUCAGCCACAUUGGGACUGAGACACGGCCCAAACUCCUACGGGAGGCAGCAGUGGGGAAUAUUGGACAAUGGGCGCAAGCCUGAUCCAGCCAUGCCGCGUGAGUGAUGAAGGCCCUAGGGUUGUAAAGCUCUUUCACCGGAGAAGAUAAUGACGGUAUCCGGAGAAGAAGCCCCGGCUAACUUCGUGCCAGCAGCCGCGGUAAUACGAAGGGGGCUAGCGUUGUUCGGAAUUACUGGGCGUAAAGCGCACGUAGGCGGAUCGAUCAGUCAGGGGUGAAAUCCCAGGGCUCAACCCUGGAACUGCUUUGAUACUGUCGAUCUGGAGUAUGGAAGAAGUGAGUGGAAUUCCGAGUGUAGAGGUGAAAUUCGUAGAUAUUCGGAGGA
rnacentral:rRNA from 1 species